UACGUAGGGGGCUAGCGUUGUCCGGAAUCAUUGGGCGUAAAGAGCGUGUAGGCGGCCCGGUAAGUCCGCUGUAAAAGUCAAAGGCUCAACCUUUGAAUGUCAGUGGAUACUGCCGGGCUAGAGUCCGGAAGAGGCGAGUGGAACUCCUGGUGUAGCGGUGGAAUGCGCAGAUAUCAGGAAGAACACCAACGGCGAAGGCAGCUCGCUAGGACGGUACUGACGCUGAGGCGCGAAAGCUAGGGGAGCAAACAGG
rnacentral:rRNA from 1 species